UACGAAGGGUGCAAGCGUUACUCGGAAUUACUGGGCGUAAAGCGUGCGUAGGUGGUCGUUUAAGUCUGUUGUGAAAGCCCUGGGCUCAACCUGGGAAUUGCAGUGGAUACUGGGCGACUAGAGUGUGGUAGAGGGUAGUGGAAUUCCCGGUGUAGCAGUGAAAUGCGUAGAGAUCGGGAGGAACAUCCAUGGCGAAGGCAGCUACCUGGACCAACACUGACACUGAGGCACGAAAGCGUGGGGAGCAAACAGG
rnacentral:rRNA from 1 species